AGAGUUUGAUCCUGGCUCAGGAUGAACGCUGGCGGCGUGCUUAACACAUGCAAGUCGAACGAUGAUCCCAGCUUGCUGGGGGAUUAGUGGCGAACGGGUGAGUAACACGUGAGUAACCUGCCCUUAACUCUGGGAUAAGCCUGGGAAACUGGGUCUAAUACCGGAUAUGACUCCUCAUCGCAUGGUGGGGGGUGGAAAGCUUUAUUAUGGUUUUGGAUGGACUCGCGGCCUAUCAGCUUGUUGGUGAGGUAAUGGCUCACCAAGGCGACGACGGGUAGCCGGCCUGAGAGGGUGACCGGCCACACUGGGACUGAGACACGGCCCAGACUCCUACGGGAGGCAGCAGUGGGGAAUAUUGCACAAUGGGCGAAAGCCUGAUGCAGCGACGCCGCGUGAGGGAUGACGGCCUUCGGGUUGUAAACCUCUUUCAGUAGGGAAGAAGCGAAAGUGACGGUACCUGCAGAAGAAGCGCCGGCUAACUACGUGCCAGCAGCCGCGGUAAUACGUAGGGCGCAAGCGUUAUCCGGAAUUAUUGGACGUAAAGAGCUCGUAGGCGGUUUGUCGCGUCUGCCGUGAAAGUCCGGGGCUCAACUCCGGAUCUGCGGUGGGUACGGGCAGACUAGAGUGAUGUAGGGGAGACUGGAAUUCCUGGUGUAGCGGUGAAAUGCGCAGAUAUCAGGAGGAACACCGAUGGCGAAGGCAGGUCUCUGGGCAUUAACUGACGCUGAGGAGCGAAAGCAUGGGGAGCGAACAGGAUUAGAUACCCUGGUAGUCCAUGCCGUAAACGUUGGGCACUAGGUGUGGGGGACAUUCCACGUUUUCCGCGCCGUAGCUAACGCAUUAAGUGCCCCGCCUGGGGAGUACGGCCGCAAGGCUAAAACUCAAAGGAAUUGACGG
rnacentral:rRNA from 1 species